GGGGCCGAUCGGUUUCGACGGUGGUUGGUGAUUCACGGGAAGCGUGCCGAGAAUGUGAAGUCAUCUCGAUAACGUCCUUCACACACCAAUAAGUGCUGAACAUAACCGCACUGACUUCGCCCUCGCUGCCUAAGUCCAGCGAGCGCCUUAAGUCCGUCAGCCCGUAGUUGCUUCAGCUACGGAUCCUGGCGUCAUCUAUGAAGCCACUGGCGUCGCGGCAGGUUACGGGUCGCAACGCGAGAUUUACGUAACUGGGCUCGUUAGCCGCUUGUUCGCGAGACAGGCUAGAGCCGAGAAACGCGUCAGCGAACUGCGCACGGAGAAGCCGUGUGGAUCAGCCAUCGGACCGGGGUUCGAUUCCCCGCGGCUCCACUC
rnacentral:tmRNA from 2 species